rnacentral:tRNA from 1 species
GCUCCCGUAGCUGAGUUGGAUUUAGCGACGGCGUGAAGACCCGUAGACACCUGUUCGAAUCAGGUCGGGAGCACCA